AGGCACCAAUCUGCUGGCACCUUGAUCUCGGACUUCCCAGCCUCCAGAACUGUGAGCAAUAAAUUUGUUGUUUUUAAGCCGCCCAGUCUGUGAUGUUUUGUUUUAGCAUCCCAGACUAAGUAAGGGUUUAAAAGAGGUGAUUAAGUUAAAAUGAGGUCAUCAGGGUGCACCCCAGUCCGACAUAGCUGAUGUCCUUAUAAGAAGAGGAAAUUAGGACACAGACAUAUGCCAUGUGAAGACGCAGGGAGAAUGUGACAUCUGCAAGCCAAGGAGAGAGGCUGCAGGAGAAACCAGCUCUGCUGACACUUUGAUCUCAAGCUCUGGCCACCAGAACUGUGAGCAAAUAAGUGUCUGUUGUUUAGGGCACCCUGUCCAUGGCACCUUGCUCCGAUAGCCCCAGGAAACGAAUCCACAGAGGAGGAAGCCGAGGUUGGGAAAGGUGGAGGGACUUGCCCAAGUCACACAAACGACAACUCAGCAGAGCUGAGAAUUGGCACCCAGGGCAACUGGAGUCCAUCCUGAGCUUGUCACUGCUGGGCUCUGAGACCUCCUGGUGAAGAAGGACAGUGGCAGAGACAGCCCGACCCAGAGAAACCCAGCAACGCUACUUUCUAAGGGCAUUUUUCCCUCUCAUUUGGAAUCCUGAGCCUCCUGCUCGUCCUGUAGGCCACACCCAGCAAACAGAUGGAGUCUCACUCUGUCAACCAGGCUGGAGUGCACUGGCGCAAUCUCGGCUCACUGCAGUCACCUCCUCUCAGGUUCAAGUGAUUCUCCUGCCUCUGCCUCCUGAGUAGCUGGGAUUACAGGUGCAUGCCACCACGCUCUGCUAAUUUUUGUAUUUUUAGUAGAGACGGGGUUUCACCGUGUUGGCCAGGCUGGUCUGGAACUCCUGACCUCAGGUGAUCCGGCUGCCUCAGCCUCCCAAAGUACUGGGAUUACAGGCAUGAGCCACCACACCUUGCCACAAAUGUGGUUUUUAAAUGUGGUUUUUAAAAAUAUCUUGAUAGCCA
rnacentral:lncRNA from 1 species